rnacentral:tRNA from 1 species
GUGGUUGUGGCUCAGAGGUAGAGCACUUGCCUAGCAUGCAUGAGGAACUGAGCUUGAGCCUCAGUGCCACA